AGAGGAAUAGCUGGGUCAAAUGGUGGUUCCAUUCCCAGAUUUCCAAGGAAUCUCCAUACUGCUUUCCAUAUUGGUUGCACCAAUUUGCAGUCCCACCAGCAAU
rnacentral:pre_miRNA from 1 species